GCAUGUGAGGGCGACCUGGCUGUCUAAGUGGGUGUCCCCUUCCUGCCUCACUGCUCAUGUGUGUCUCUCUGGAGCUGUGAGCUUGGUCAAAGAGGACGACCUUCCCUGGUACAGGAGGUCCACUCUUUGGUCAAGAUGUGCUCCCCUGAUAGAACCUUCAAACAGGUUCUCAAGAAGAAAAUUCAGUGGCUCAAUGGUAGAGCACCUGCCUAGCAAGCAUGAGGUCCUGAGUUCAAGCCCCAGUGC
rnacentral:snRNA from 1 species